rnacentral:rRNA from 1 species
UACGGGGGGAGCAAGCGUUGUUCGGAUUUACUGGGCGUAAAGGGCGCGUAGGCGGCUCGUUUAGUCGGGUGUGAAAUCCCGGGGCUCAACCCCGGAACUGCAUUCGAUACUGGCGGGCUAGAGACCGGAAGAGGUGGGUGGAAUACCCAGUGUAGAGGUGAAAUUCGUAGAUAUUGGGUGGAACACCGGUGGCGAAGGCGGCUCACUGGUCCGGUUCUGACGCUGAGGCGCGAAAGCGUGGGGAGCAAACAGG